AUCAUUUCAUUCUUUUGUUUUUUAUUUUUUUUCUAUUGAAUGAAAAUUGUAAGAUUUAAAUAAAUUCAACACAAUUGUAGGGUUCUGGAGAAGAUGAAGGUACCUUCGAAAGCGGGUGACGUGCCAGAGAUCAGGCCGGAACAGCUUUCGGAGGCUGAUGACUCUAUCUUUGGUUUCCCUCCUCGUUUUGGGGUGAUGGAAGCCCAAUUCAAAGCCUUUUUUUAUGCCAAGCAAGAGCUCUGGGCUGCGCAAGCACUGGCCGGCAAGCCUGCCGGAAUCUUUUGGAGUACUGGCUUCCAUGGGGGACGCCCGGAACUUACUGCCAAUAGCAAGGUGGAAGACGGCGAUUGGGGGUGGCGACGACAAUUGUAGGUGGUUGUCAAUGAAGUCAGUGGCAGUAAUAGCGGUGGCGGCGAUAAUGGUGGCUACGGGUGGUUGCAGACAACAGCCAUGGUUGCCGAUGGCAAUUGCCGUGAGCUCAACCACCAGCGACGAUGUCUGCUGCUAGUGAUGGCAGUGAUAGCAACCGAUGGAGGAGGAGAGGAGUGAAGGAGCAAUGGUGACGAUCGCGGUGGCUUAGAGAAGAAGAAACCCUAGCCUCCAAUUCACCAUUUGUUUUUCGCGUUUUCAAUUUUUGGCUUUGUUUUGGAUAAAAACUUUUUGUUAUUUUGGCUUUCCUUUACAAUUUAUUUUUUUAUUUUUGAAAAUCCGUUUUUGAAAACAACAAAAUAAACACGUUUUUACUAUUUUAGAAAAUUGAAAAUGAUCUAAAAAUAAUAAAGAAAACGGACCUUAGGGUUUCAAACUUUGGUUUUAGAGAUUGGGGAUUUGCAUUACACUAUGCACUAAUGCGUUAUAUACAUAGAACAUGCAUUGGGGCACGGCCUGACCUCACCCAACCCAACUUUCUCAAAUUCAUGAAAAAAAUAAGACCUUUUACAAUUUGUUCAAAAGUCUUACCAUUUUCUAUUUUCCUUUUCAUCCAGAAUAACUAAAAUCACUUGAUUUUCAAAUGUCUUACAUUUUUCUUGUGCUUCCUCUGUAUCUUGUUCCUUUUCUCCUUCAUCUUCAUUUUCUUAUUUUUUCAUGAUGUAUCUUAGUCCUUAGAGAGAAAGUUGUGGAAAGGGGAAAGGAGGAAUAAGUGUAAUAUAUAUACAUAUAUAUAUAUAGAGAGAGAGAGAGAGAGUUGCCUUGGUAAAGGGUUGCAUCAAGGACAUUCGAUGUAAAUUUUUUACCACAUUAUUCUUUUACGUAAAUUUAUAUUAUUAAUAUGAUUUUUAGAUAUUAAUUAACAUUAUAGCUGGUAUGUUGUGUCAUCAACCCAAACUUGGUUACAAGAAGGCAUGAUUGAUGAUAAUGGAGAGAAGGGAAAUUCAAUAUUUGAUUAACAAAUUCAUCCACUUUCAUAUGAGAGAGAAGAAGUUAAAAUAAUUUUCAAGACUUGACAGUACACACUAUGAUUUAAUGAAACCGCAAGGGUAUUAGAUGCAGUUUACUUUGUAUUUUAAUUACUUUUUGAAAUUCCCAUAUGAAAGUAUGAACACCCUACUUUUCUUGUCCAAUUUGUAAAAUUAUUCCAAGUUCUAAUGAAAUUGGAUUUCAUGAAUCUCAUCAAAACAUUUCACAAUUUCGAUGCAACUUUAUUACAGAGCAUUGAUAGGUCGUGGGUCGACAUAGCACACCUAAACAUUUCUACACAUAGGACCCUAUUUAUAUGUGGAGGAUAAAGCCACAUAAGCUAGAGACGCAUGUUAGCUACACAAAACCAGUCAAAUUGGUCCAAGAAAGUGACGCCAAUCCAUAAGUAUUAAUCAGUGGUUGAAUUAAGCAUAAUAUAUUUUAAGAUUGAGAUAAUCACCUCAGGUUAUUAAUAAUGCUAGAUAAGGUAGAAAAUCCAUAACACCAAACAAGGCAGCACCAAAAUCAUUAUUGAUAAGGCAAAUGCCAUCUCAAUUCCAAGUAUCCCAGUCUCCACUUCUACAAGUUAAAUAUAACUAGCUAUUGUAAAAACAACAAUUUGAGGAUAAGAAAGAAAGUCCUAGUUCAUUCAUUCACGUCAAUAUAAUUUCAUAAAAUAUCAUCUCUGUUGGUAAACUUUUUGGGCACUGUCCUAGGAAGUUCUUUUUCAUCGUUCUUGUUGGAUUUUAAUGAGCAUAAAAUGGCUUUCAACCCUCGUUUGUUAGAUUGUCGAUCAAGUCAACCCAUAUCAUCUUUCGGUCAAUUAGGGUCUAU